CACGUAGGGGACGAGCGUUGUCCGGAUUCAUUGGGCGUAAAGCGCGUGUAGGCGGCUUUGCAAGUCGGGUGUGAAAGCCCUCAGCUCAACUGAGGAAGUGCGCCCGAAACUGCAGAGCUUGAGUGCCGGAGAGGGUAGCGGAAUUCCCCAAGUAGAGGUGAAAUUCGUAGAUAUGGGGAGGAACACCGGUGGCGAAAGCGGCGCGCUGGACCUCUUCUGACGCUGAGGCGCGAAAGCCAGGGGAGCAAACGGG
rnacentral:rRNA from 1 species